UAAGUCUGGUGCCAGCAGCCGCGGUAAUUCCAGCUCCAAAAGUAUAUAUUUAAGUUGUUGCGGUUAAAAAGCUCGUAGUUGGAUUUUGGGCGCAGGCGGCCGGUCCGUCGCAAGGCGUGUACUGGACGUCCUGGCCUUCCCUCCGGUUCUCCGCCGGUGCUCUUGACUGAGUGUCGGCGGCGGCCGGAACGUUUACUUUGAAAAAAUUAGAGUGUUCAAAGCAGGCUCUCGAGCCUGGAUAAUGGUGCAUGGAAUAAUGGAAUAGGACCUCGGUUCUAUUUUGUUGGUUUUCGGAGCGCGAGGUAAUGAUUAAGAGGGACAGACGGGGGCAUUCGUACUGUGCCGUUAGAGGUGAAAUUCUUGGAUCGGCGCAAGACGAACGACUGCGAAAGCAUUUGCCAAGAAUGUUUUCUUUAAUCAAGAGCGAAAGUCAGAGGUUCAAAGACGAUCAGAUACCGUCCUAGUUCUGACUAUAAACGAUGCCAACUAGCGAUCGGGGGGCGUUACAUUGACGACCCCUCCGGCAGCUUACGGGAAACCAAAGUCUUUGGGUUCCGGGGGAAGUAUGGUUGCAAAGCUGAAACUUAAAGGAAUUGACGGAAGGGCACCACCAGGAGUGGAGCCUGCGGCUUAAUUUGACUCAACACGGGAAAUCUCACCCGGCCCGGACACAGUGAGGAUUGACAGAUUGAGAGCUCUUUCUUGAUUCUGUGGGUGGUGGUGCAUGGCCGUUCUUAGUUGGUGGAGCGAUUUGUCUGGUUAAUUCCGAUAACGAACGAGACUCUGGCUUGCUAAAUAGUUACGCGACCAUCCCGGUCGGCGUUUAACUUUUUAGAGGGACAAGUGGCGU
rnacentral:ncRNA from 1 species